GGCUAGAAAGCAAAAUGGUGAUGCAAAAGAUUGCAAAUCUUUGUUUAAUUGGUUCGAGUCCAAUUCUAGCUU
rnacentral:tRNA from 1 species